rnacentral:rRNA from 1 species
AGGUGGAGCCUGCGGUUUAAUCGGACUCAACGCCGGGAAACUCACCAGAUAAGACAGCUGAAUGAUAGUCGGGCUGAAGACUCUACUUUGACUAGCUGAGAGGAGGUGCAUGGCCGUCGUCAGUUCGUACUGUGAAGCAUCCUGUUAAGUCAGGCAACGAGCGAGACCCACGCCAACAGUUGCCAGCAUGUCCUCCGGGAUGGUGGGGACACUGUUGGGACCGCCUCUGCUAAAGAGGAGGAAGGAAUGGGCAACGGUAGGUCAGCAUGCCCCGAAUUAUCCGGGCUACACGCGGGCUACAAUGGUCAGGACAAUGGGCAUCAACACCGAAAGGUGAAGGCAAUCUCUUAAACCUGUCCUUAGUUCGGAUUGUGGGCUGCAACUCGCCCACAUGAAGCUGGAAUCUGUAGUAAUCGCGUCUCAAAAUGGCGCGGUGAAUAUGUCCCUGCUCCUU